rnacentral:rRNA from 1 species
CCUACGGGUGGCAGCAGUGAGGAAUAUUGGUCAAUGGCCGGGAGCCUGAACCAGCCAAGCCGCGUGAAGGAUGAAGGUGCAAUGCGUUGUAAACUUCUUUUGUCAGGGGGCAAAAUGCGGCACGAGAGCCUGACGGAGGGUACUUGAAGAAAAAGCAUCGGCUAACUCCGUGCCAGCAGCCGCGGUAAUACGGAGGAUGCGAGCGUUAUCCGGCUUUAUUGGGUUUAAAGGGUGCGUAGGCGGACGGUUAAGUCAGCGGUAAAAGCGCGGGGCUCAACCUCGUCGAGCCGUUGAAACUGGGUGUCUUGAGAGGGCGAGAAGUACGCGGAAUGCGUGGUGUAGCGGUGAAAUGCUUAGAUAUUGCGCAGAACUCCGAUUGCGAAGGCAGCAUACCGGCGGCGAACUGACGCUGAGGCACGAAGGCGUGGGUAUCGAACAGGAUUAGAUACCCUUGUAGUC